UACAGAGGUCUCAAGCGUUGUUCGGAUUCAUUGGGCGUAAAGGGAGCGCAGGCGGAUUGGUAAGUCAGUGGUGAAAUACCCGUGCUUAACAUGGGAACUGCCAUUGAUACUAUCAGUCUUGAAUGUUGUUGAGGUUUGCGGAAUGGGUCAUGUAGCGGUGAAAUGCAUAGAUAUGACCCGGAACACCUAUUGCGAAGGCAGCAGGCUAAACAAAUAUUGACGCUGAGGCUCGAAAGCGUGGGGAUCAAACAGG
rnacentral:rRNA from 1 species